UGAAUACGAGACGCUAAGGCGUCGAAGUAGUGUAUGUCAUACUUCCAAGAAAAGCUUGCACUGUCAUAGAUAAAAAACGCCUGUACCAUAACCGACACAGGUGGGUAGGUAGAGUAUACUAAGGGGCGCGAGAUAACUCUCUCUAAGGAACUCGGCAAAAUAACUCCGUAACUUCGGGAGAAGGAGUGCCUUAUUCGUAAGGUUGCAAUAACAAGAUCCAAGCAACUGUUUAUCAAAAACACAGGUCUCCGCUAAGUCGUAAGACGAUGUAUGGGGCUGACGCCUGCCCAGUGCCAGAAGGUUAAAGAAGUUGGUUAGCAAUUGCGAAGCUGAUAACUGAAGCCCUGGUGAACGGCGGCCGUAACGAUAACGGUCCUAAGGUAGCGAAAUUCCUUGUCGGGUAAGUUCCGACCCGCACGAAAGGCGUAAUGAUUUGGAUACUGUCUCGGAGAGGGGCUCGGUGAAAUAGACUUGUCUGUGAAGAUGCGGACUACCUGCACCAGGACAGAAAGACCCUAUGAAGCUUUACUGUAACUUGAAAUUGAAAUUGGACUUUAUUCGCGCAGUAUAGGUGGGAGGCGUUGAUUAUAAUCUUGUGGGAUUAUUGGAGCCAUCAGUGAGAUACCACUCUUGUAAUGUUAGAUUUCUAACUUUGAAUCAUUAUCUGGUCAAAGAACAGUUUCAGGCGGGCAGUUUGACUGGGGCGGUCGCCUCCUAAACGGUAACGGAGGCGUACAAAGGUUUCCUCUGAACGGUUAGAAAUCGUAUCUAGAGUGUAAAGGCAUAAGGAAGCUUGACUGUGAGACCUACAAGUCGAGCAGGGACGAAAGUCGGUCUUAGUGAUCUGACGGUACUGAGUGGAAAGGCCGUCACUCAACGGAUAAAAGUUACUCUAAGGAUAACAGGCUGAUCUCCCCCAAGAGUUCACAUCGACGGGGAGGUUUGGCACCUCGAUGUCGGCUCAUCGCAUCCUGGGGCGGUAGUACGUCCCAAGGGUUGGGCUGUUCGCCCAUGAAAGCGGUACGCGAGCUGGGUUCAGAACGUCGUGAGACAGUUCGGUCCAUAUCCGGUGUAGGCGUUAGAAUAUUGAGAGGAGCCUUCUUUAGUACGAGAGGACCGAGAAGGACAUACCUCUGGUGUACCAGUUAUCGUGCCAACGGUAAACGCUGGGUAGCUAUGUAUGGAGUGGAUAACCGCUGAAAGCAUCUAAGUGGGAAGCCCACCUCAAGAUAAGUAUUCUCAC
rnacentral:rRNA from 1 species